AUGAGGACAGAACCAGUUCAUUGGGCUAGGGCAUUUUUUCCUACAGGAGCUAACUGUGAAUCUGUAGAAAAUAAUCUUUGUGAGUCAUUUAACAAUGCCAUCAUAGAAUCAAGGUUUUACCCAAUUAUUUCACAGCAAGAGAUAAUAAAAAAGAAGAUGCUUGUUAGGGUGCAAGAGCAGAGAGCCAAAUCAGCAACAUGGAAGGGAAAAAUUUGUCGAAAUGUUUUCAAGAAGCUAAAGGUGAGUAUUAGACUGACAGAAUACAUUGAGGUACUCUGGAAUGGCAAGGAGGGAUUUGAGGUGCAGCACAUGAAGGGCAGAAAAAAUAAGUACAUAGUGAAUCUUGAAAAAAGGAUAUGUACUUGUGGUUACUUUCAGCUGGCAGGCCUCCCAUGUUGUCAUGCUAUGCUAUUGCAUCAAUUUACAAGAGUGGUAGAAAGGUAG
rnacentral:rRNA from 1 species